rnacentral:rRNA from 1 species
UACGUUCCCGGGCCUUGUACACACCGCCCGUCACACCAUGGGAGUUGGUUUUACCCGAAGACGGUGUUCUAACCCGCAAGGGAGGAAGCCGGCCACGGUAAGGUCAGCGACUGGGGUG